rnacentral:lncRNA from 1 species
AGAGAGUACACAUAAGGCCGGCAUCCUCGGUUAUCAUAAGAAGUACUCAACUCCUUCACGGCAUUCAGAUGAUAGGAACAUAUGGAAAUAAAUAGGAACUUCAAGGAUGCAAGAAUGAAAGCUUCAGGCCAAAGAGAUGCUCCACCACAUUGAGAACAAACCCUCUGAAAAUGGGUUGUUCACACUCGCCAUCAGAAGCUGUAUAGUCAAGAAGAGUGUCUGUUCCCAGAGGCCUCAAAGCACAAGCUGCACUCAAGCUUGCUCACCGUUAGCUUCUGCUUCCUCUUUGAUGUUCAAGAUGUGAACUUUCAUCUGCUGCUCCAGUCACCUGUUACCACCUCUCCAACAUCAUGGACUCCAGUCUUGUGAAACCAUUAGCCCCAAAUAAACACUUUUUUCUAUAA